AGUGAACGCUGGCGGUAGGCCUAACACAUGCAAGUCGAACGGCAGCACAGUAAGAGCUUGCUCUUACGGGUGGCGAGUGGCGGACGGGUGAGGAAUACAUCGGAAUCUACUUUUUCGUGGGGGAUCACGUAGGGACACUUACGCUAAUACCGCAUACGACCUACGGGUGAAAGCAGGGGAUCUUCGGACCUUGCGCGAUUGAAUGAGCCGAUGUCGGAUUAGCUAGUUGGCGGGGUAAAGGCCCACCAAGGCGACGAUCCGUAGCUGGUCUGAGAGGAUGAUCAGCCACACUGGAACUGAGACACGGUCCAGACUCCUACGGGAGGCAGCAGUGGGGAAUAUUGGACAAUGGGCGCAAGCCUGAUCCAGCCAUGCCGCGUGGAUGAAGAAGGCCUUCGGGUUGUAAAGCCCUUUUGUUGGGAAAGAAAAGCAGCAGGUUAAUACCCCGCUGUUCUGACGGUACCCAAAGAAUAAGCACCGGCUAACUUCGUG
rnacentral:rRNA from 1 species